UUAAAAACCGUGAUAAGGAACGGUGCUAAGCUGGUUAGUUAGCGAGCUGCGGAUUGGUGUAAGGCAGUCAAUACCACUUAACAUAGAUCACCUUGGAGUUGCGCCUCGAAAUUCGUGGAGAUGGUGCUGGAUGGUACCCAUUAAUGUACCGGCGUAUCGCAAUUGCUGUACGUACUAAGGUGACUAUUGUGAAGUAGUCGCGAAUAAAGGUGGUAACCCGUUCUGGACGUCCUUUAA
rnacentral:ncRNA from 1 species